rnacentral:rRNA from 1 species
UUAAGUUAGAAAGGGCGCACGGUGGAUGCCUUGACACUAGGAGUCGAUGAAGGACGGGACUAACGCCGAUAUGCUUCGGGGAGCUGUAAGUAAGCUUUGAUCCGAAGAUUUCCGAAUGGGGAAACCCACCAUACGUAAUGGUAUGGUAUCCUUAUCUGAAUACAUAGGGUAAGGAAGACAGACCCAGGGAACUGAAACAUCUAAGUACCUGGAGGAAGAGAAAGCAAAUGCGAUUUCCUGAGUAGCGGCGAGCGAAACGGAACAUAGCCCAAACCAAGAGGCUUGCCUCUUGGGGUUGUAGGACAUUCUAUACGGAGUUACAAAGGAACGAGGUAGACGAAGCGACCUGGAAAGGUCCGUCGUAGAGGGUAACAACCCCGUAGUCGAAACUUCGUUCUCUCUUGAAUGUAUCCUGAGUACGGCGGAACACGUGAAAUUCCGUCGGAAUCUGGGAGGACCAUCUCCCAAGGCUAAAUACUCCCUAGUGAUCGAUAGUGAACCAGUACCGUGAGGGAAAGGUGAAAAGCACCCCGGAAGGGGAGUGAAAGAGAUCCUGAAACCGUGUGCCUACAAAUAGUCAGAGCCCGUUAACGGGUGAUGGCGUGCCUUUUGUAGAAUGAACCGGCGAGUUACGAUCCCGUGCGAGGUUAAGCUGAAGAGGCGGAGCCGCAGCGAAAGCGAGUCUGAAUAGGGCGUUUAGUACGUGGUCGUAGACCCGAAACCAGGUGAUCUACCCAUGUCCAGGGUGAAGUUCAGGUAACACUGAAUGGAGGCCCGAACCCACGCACGUUGAAAAGUGCGGGGAUGAGGUGUGGGUAGCGGAGAAAUUCCAAUCGAACCUGGAGAUAGCUGGUUCUCCCCGAAAUAGCUUUAGGGCUAGCCUUAAGUGUAAGAGUCUUGGAGGUAGAGCACUGAUUGGACUAGGGGUCCUCAUCGGAUUACCGAAUUCAGUCAAACUCCGAAUGCCAAUGACUUAUCCUUAGGAGUCAGACUGCGAGUGAUAAGAUCCGUAGUCAAAAGGGAAACAGCCCAGACCGCCAGCUAAGGUCCCAAAGUGUGUAUUAAGUGGAAAAGGAUGUGGAGUUGCUUAGACAACUAGGAUGUUGGCUUAGAAGCAGCCACCAUUUAAAGAGUGCGUAAUAGCUCACUAGUCGAGUGACUCUGCGCCGAAAAUGUACCGGGGCUAAAUACACCACCGAAGCUGCGGAUUGAUACCAAUGGUAUCAGUGGUAGGGGAGCGUUCUAAGGACAGUGAAGUCAGACCGNNNNNNNNNNNNNNNNNNNNNNNNNGCUGAGCUGUGAUGGGGAAGCUCCUUAUGGAGCGAAGUCUUUGAUUCCCCGCUGCCAAGAAAAGCUUCUAGCGAGAUAAAAGGUGCCUGUACCGCAAACCGACACAGGUAGGCGAGGAGAGAAUCCUAAGGUGUGCGAGAGAACUCUGGUUAAGGAACUCGGCAAAAUGACCCCGUAACUUCGGGAGAAGGGGUGCUUUCUUAACGGAAAGCCGCAGUGAAUAGGCCCAAGCGACUGUUUAGCAAAAACACAGCUCUCUGCGAAGCCGUAAGGCGAAGUAUAGGGGGUGACACCUGCCCGGUGCUGGAAGGUUAAGGAGAGGGGUUAGCGUAAGCGAAGCUCUGAACUGAAGCCCCAGUAAACGGCGGCCGUAACUAUAACGGUCCUAAGGUAGCGAAAUUCCUUGUCGGGUAAGUUCCGACCCGCACGAAAGGUGUAACGAUUUGGGCACUGUCUCAACCAGAGACUCGGUGAAAUUAUAGUACCUGUGAAGAUGCAGGUUACCCGCGACAGGACGGAAAGACCCCGUGGAGCUUUACUGUAGCCUGAUAUUGAAUUUUGGUACAGUUUGUACAGGAUAGGCGGGAGCCAUUGAAACCGGAGCGCUAGCUUCGGUGGAGGCGCUGGUGGGAUACCGCCCUGACUGUAUUGAAAUUCUAACCUACGGGUCUUAUCGACCCGGGAGACAGUGUCAGGUGGGCAGUUUGACUGGGGCGGUCGCCUCCUAAAGUGUAACGGAGGCGCCCAAAGGUUCCCUCAGAAUGGUUGGAAAUCAUUCGUAGAGUGCAAAGGCAUAAGGGAGCUUGACUGCGAGACCUACAAGUCGAGCAGGGACGAAAGUCGGGCUUAGUGAUCCGGUGGUUCCGCAUGGAAGGGCCAUCGCUCAACGGAUAAAAGCUACCCCGGGGAUAACAGGCUUAUCUCCCCCAAGAGUCCACAUCGACGGGGAGGUUUGGCACCUCGAUGUCGGCUCAUCGCAUCCUGGGGCUGUAGUCGGUCCCAAGGGUUGGGCUGUUCGCCCAUUAAAGCGGUACGCGAGCUGGGUUCAGAACGUCGUGAGACAGUUCGGUCCCUAUCCGUCGUGGGCGUAGGAAAUUUGAGAGGAGCUGUCCUUAGUACGAGAGGACCGGGAUGGACGCACCGCUGGUGUACCAGUUGUUCUGCCAAGGGCAUAGCUGGGUAGCUAUGUGCGGAAGGGAUAAGUGCUGAAAGCAUCUAAGCAUGAAGCCCCCCUCAAGAUGAGAUUUCCCAUAGCGUAAGCUAGUAAGAUCCCUGAAAGAUGAUCAGGUUGAUAGGUUCGAGGUGGAAGCAUGGUGACAUGUGGAGCUGACGAAUACUAAUAGAUCGAGGACUUAACCAU